GCCCGGUUAGCUCAAUCGGUAGAGGUUAGUUGACUGCUCCAAUGUUCUCUUAACCAUACGAUGCUAACCAUCCGAAUAGCGUGAGACUCUUAAUCUCAAGGUUGCGGGUUCGACCCCCGCAUCGGGCU